CAGUGACUUCAAUGCACUCGGGCCAGAUGCGGCGAGAAACCUUGACUUUUUGUUCACUCGUUCGGCGAUUGUUUUUCGCUUCGGGCUGUGAAUUGGUGCCUAGUUUUUAUUGGUGUUGAUUUUUCUCGGCUAUAAAAAUAGUAACGGAUUUGAUCUGUUCAGGCUAGGUUGUGUUACUCAUUGUCAUGCUGUCCUAAAUGCUUUGAUGAUUAUCGAAUCGAACUCAGUUCGCCCCCAAACGUCUGGAUUUUUUACGGGACUCUACAGCUUGAAGGUAGUCGUGGAUUCUAUCCCCAUUGGAGCACGUGUAUCUUUUAACAAAUUUAACUUCAAUUUGUAUAUUUCACACAUGUUCUGUGUGUGCAUAUCAACGUGAAACAUUAUAAUAUAAUUACUUUUAAAUAAGCAUAAAUUGAUUCCUAAUCAAUUGUUGUCACCUUUGAUAAAUGCAAAAAUAUAUUUUGAUCAUGUUUGUCCAUUGUUUAAGAUCCUGGCUUACAGUGACAGUUCGUGCCAGCAGAAUCUCGGCUCACCUUGCCGUACAGAAAUUACGUAACAAUUUCUCCCUCUCAAGUAAGGGUCCAAGGGCCAAGAUUCUGCUGUCACCAAUUGUCAGGUGUGAACCAACUCCUGAAACAAUAAACUUACAUGUUAGAAGAGUGAUAUUGACUAAAGCAUAUUUUUGCACUUUAUUAAAGUUGUCGAAAAGCAGAUAUGAGCUAGUUUUUACACAUGCGUAAGCAACCUCACAAUUUAAUCUUCGAUUUAAAUAAAAAACCAAUAAUGGAACACGUAUCUUUUUUGUAUUCUUUUAUAAAAAUGGAAAUCAAAUGCAAUAUGGCCCUUCGAUGUUCGGAAUACAAACUUUGAUGUU